CACACAUUUUUGUGCACAUGAUAAUGGAAAAUGGGAAAACCAAACAUUUCAAUCUUCCUCUCCCUUAGCCAAAUGGAAGAUUUAUUUACAUGUUGAUUUCUUAUAGUUACAUGAUACCAUUUUUUGUUUCUGAAUUUACACCCAAAGAAACCAAUUUUGGGAAGAAACCAAGAAAGGAAGUAAUAGGAGGACAUAGAUAAAAAGGGAAAGAAGGCAUAAGCAAGAGGAAACCUUUCUUCCUGCCCUCCUGGGUCUAGAAUGUAGUCCCAGAUAAGGUUGAGGGCUAAGGCAACAGGAGUAUGCAGUGAAGAACUGUGGGAGUACCUGAGGCAGAUCUGGGUCAUACUUGGCCCUUGGCCAGUCCCCAGAGGUUGUCUGACCUGCUGGGCAUCCUGGGAAGCAGUCCCAGGCAGUUUCUGCUUUGCUAUGCCUGCUGGUUCUGCUGCCAUUUGGCCCACGGAACACCCAGGAGAACAAUUCUCUCCCUGAAUUUCUCUGCCAUCUGCUCUACAUCCUACCAAUGAUCAAGUGUGGCAACCUGUGAGCAUCCAGAAUCAUGUCUGCUUGAUCUUUAAUUUAAUUUACCAUUGAGACAUCUCCAUACCAUAAAUGGGAAACCUUGUGGUAGGAAAUUGAUCAAACCAUGAAGAUGGACACUUCUUAUCCAUCCAUGUUUUGUCAUUGUUAAUGAUGCUUGAUUCUUAUGGGUUUCUCUGAGAUUUGUGAAGAAAAAUGAGCAAUUAACCAGGAGCAGGGCUGCUCCAUUCAUCUAGAACAAUAUAUAUCAGACUUCUAGACCUAAAUGGAAAGAUAGGACCAGUACAACAGGAGGUGUGGAGAUGACACAUCACAGGACUGACCACAAAGUAAAAUAUACUAAAAUCUCAUGUUCUAUAUUAAAAUUCCUUGCAAAUUAUGUAUAAUCCUGUAAGUCAGCAUACUUUAAUAUAUAAAAAAAACCUUGGACUUGUUUUUAAACCAAAUAAAAAUUUAAUUCCAUCUUCCCCUAAAUCUUCUGGUGCAACUGCUGCUCAAGAAUAUGUGCUCUAGGUUUAUUUAUAGACUGAAAUAUCCUGGAAUAUCUUUGAUAUCUCAAGGGAAAAGCUAAUUCUAAGUGGAGAAGCAUAUAUGCCUGAAUCUUUCAAAAGACCCAAUUCUGGGGACCAAAGUGAAGGGAGUUUUGGGUGAGUCCUCAUUAAAUGUCAUCUCGUUGUCCCUGGUUCUGCUUCGGUUCACUUAAGUUUGCAAGAUGUGGUUGGUCAUUCUACAGGCAAAGAUAGAGGAGGUAAAAAUUGAGAGCACUCAAGACAAACUAAAUACAGUCAUUUCUCUUCUCAAUAUUCCAGCCUUCACUGACAACCAUUAGCUGUUAAUUAGACAUUUCACAAAAAUCUGUAUAUUUAAAUGCCCACAUGUUUGGAGACCAUCAGGUUACUGUCAGUAUGUUACUGGAGUCAGAAUGUUUUUCUCUUGGCUUUCAGGUUGAUGUUUGUCAGUUCUGUCAUCCCAAGAUGACCUCUGCUACUAACAAAUCUGACUUUUUUUUUUCCUGCAUCUAUUAGGAUCUUGAACACUGCCAUGUGAAUGUAGAUGCUCCCUGUGUUAAAUUGUUUUCUGCUGGGAGCCAAGGCUAAGUUCUAGUUCUCAUUUAUCUGAAAGGAACAGAGGGAUCUAAAGUAUUGUCAGUGGCUGACAAGAUGCCACUUUUUUGGCUAUUUUCCAUAGCAUUCAGAUUCAUAUCUGAGCUCAACAUGCUUUAUAUGUUUUUUCCCACAUGCUGGGACAGGCCUGUUUUUGGAGACAAUCUCUGGGAGUGGAGGAAAGAGGCUUGUUUUCACACAUGGCCAUAUGUAUAGUGCAAUUUCUUCCCCAAAUGGUAAAGUUUCCCUGGCAGGGGACAUGCUUCACCUUUGGUCAGUCUUCAUCCCAGGUCUCUUUCUGAGUUAUUUUUCACCCCAACCCCCAACUUUGAAACUGCCUUUAACUGAAAGAAAGACACUUUUUUGAUGUUUUUAUUUGACUCCUUGGCAAAAGUCUAGCUUAUAAUUUUUUAAUUAAGAUGUCUGCAUUUGAAAAGGUGGUGACAACUGAGCUCCAGGCUCAUCUGGUUUAUCAUAUGCUCCAGGACAGGUUUAGGUUUGGAUUUCAAUCAGGUCGUAACAUGAAGUCAGGAUCUGUGAUAAUCUAAUUAUUCACAGGAACAGAAGAUCAUUGAAAUAAAGGAGACACUUUAGUCAUCAACUCACCCAGUGCCUUUUCACACUCUGCCCUUGGAUUGAAGUUUCUUACCAGAAGAUUAAAAUAUUGUUUCAUGAGAUUUGUUUCUUACCUUGCAAGACAUCUUUCUUUUUGGUGGCCUUAGUAUUUUGACUUAUUUAGGCAAAUAAUUUAGAGUAUUGAUGGAUUCCACCUGGUAGGGGAUUUUCCAAUACUUAGUCAAAAGGAAGCUACCAAAAUUUUGCAACUUGAGAGCUGUCCUAAAAGGCCAGCUUUAUCUGCCCUCAGAGGGUGCCUGACAUCUUCAAUCUUGGAGUCUCUGGUCUAAAGCAUUAUCUCCAGAAGGUAAUACUUACAAUAUAACUGUCUUAUCAAAGAGCUCAUUCAUUCUUUCACAACUCUUAGCUCCUGUUGAGUAGUGGACAGCAGGGUCCUGUGAGACAGAGACUUGGGUCAGCUAAGUUCAGAGGAAGGACGAUAGAAUCUGAACCCGGGACUCUAGUGGAAGAGUCAGACACAACACAGUAGAGAGAAGUCAAAGUCAGUCAUGGAGUCCCAAUAGUUUAUUUUUGCUUUUUCCCCCCUUGCCUCAGGAUACAUAUCUAGAAAGAAGUUGCUAUAACCAAUGUCAAAGAAGUUACUGCCCAUGUUCUCUUCCAGGAAUUUUACGAUUUCAGGUCUUACAUUUAGGUCUUUAAUCCAUUUUGAUUGAUCUUCAUGUAUGGUGUAAGAAAGUGGUCCACUUUCUUUCUUUUGCAUGUUGCUGUCCAGGUUUCCCAACACCAUUUCUUGAAGAGACUGUCUUCUCCCCACUGGAUAAUAUCCUUCCCUGCUUUGUCAAACAUUAAUUGGCCAUACAGUUGUGAGUUCACUUCUGAGUAUUCUAUUUUGUUCUAUUGAUCUAUGGGCCCAUUUUUGCCCCAGUACCAUAUUGUUUUUAUUACCACAGCUUUGUAACAUAACUUGAAGUCCAGAAUUGUGAUGCCUCCAGCUUUGCUUUUCUUUUUCAAGGUUACUUCGGCUAUUGGGGGUCUUUUGUGGUUCUAUACAAACUUUAGAAUUAUUUGUUCUAGCUCUGUGAAAAAUGCUGUUAGUUCUUUGGUAGAGAUUGCAUUAAAUAUGUAGAUUUCUUUGGAUAGGAUAGACAUUUUAACAAUAUUCUUCCAAUCCAUGAGCGUGGAAUUUCUUUCCAUUUCUUUUUGUCAUCUUGAAUUUCUCUCAUCAAUGUUCUGUAGUUUUCAGAGUACAGGUCCUUCACCUCUUUCGUUAAGUUUAUUCCUAGAUAUCUUACUGUUUUGGGUAAAAUUGUAAAUGGGAUUGAUUCCUUAAUUUAUGUUUCUGCUGCUUCAUUAUUGGUGUAUGGAAAUGCAACAGAUUUCUGUACUUUAUUGAAUUCAUGUAUCAGUUCUAGCAGUUUUUUUUGGUGGAAUCUUUUGGGUUUUCUAUAUAUAGUAUCACAUCAUCUGCAAAUAGUGGAAAUUUUGCUCCUACCUUGCCAAUUUGGAUUACUUUUAUUUCUUUUUGUUGUCUUAUUGCUAUAGCUAGCUAGCUAUAGCUAGCAUAGGACUUCCAGUACUAUGUUAAAUAACAAUGGUGAGAGUGGACAUCUUGUCUUGUUCCUGACUGUAAGGGAAAAUCUCUCAGUUUUUCCCCAUUGAGGAUUAAAUUAGCUGUGAAGGGUACAUAUAUGGCCUUUAUUAUGUUGAGGUACACUCCCUCAUCAAAAUAAAAAGCUUCCACACAAUGAAGGAAAUAAUCAACAAAACUAAAGGCAAACUACAGAAUGAGAGAAGAUAUUUGCAAAUGACAUAUCUGAUAAAAGGUUAGUUUUAAUCCAAGAUAUAUAAAGAACUUAUAAAACUUAACAUUAAAAAAAUGAGUAAUCCAAUUAAAAAAUGGGCAGAAUACAUGAACAAACAUUUCUCCAAAGAAGACAUCCAGAUGGCCAACAGACACAUGAAAAGACGCUCAACAUCACUCAUCAGGGAAAUACAAAUAAAAACCACAAUGAGAUGUCACCUUACACCUGUAAGGAUCACUAAAAUCAACAACACAAGAAACAACAGGUAUUGGCACAGAUGUGGAAAAACAGGAGUCUUGCACUGUUGGUGGGAAUGCAAACUGAUGCAGCCACUGUAGAAAAUAAUAUGGAGGUUGAUCAAAAAGUUAAAAAUAGAACUACCUUUUGAUCCAGCAAAAGGUAGUGUGAACUACUAGAUAUUUACCCAAAGAAUACAAAAAUACAAAUUCAAAGGGAUACAUGUACCACAGUGUUUAUAGCAGCAUUAUCUACAAUAGCUAAGUUAUGGAAACAGCCCCAGCGCCCAUCAACUGAUGAAUGGAUAAAAAAAGAUGUGCUAUAUUUAUCACAUAUGUCCACACACACAAAAUGGAAUAUUCCUCAGGCAUAAAAAAAGCUCACCUCAACCAAUGUAUACAACUAGAGAGCACAUACAUCAGCAUAAAUACCCCUGUAAACAACAAAAGAUUGGCAGAACAACAUCACAACAAAAGGUAGAGAAGAGGCCAAAUAAAAGAAGGUAGAAAUGAUGAAGAUGUGGUUUGAGAGUGAAAUGGACCUUGGCAGUCCACAGUGGAGAGGGAAUUGGGGGCACAGAAGGGUGAAAAAUAGACUAUCACAUCAGGGAGCCCACACAGGGAAGACAAAUCUCCAUAACAUUGGUUUUGAAAGUGAGAGGGACUAAAUCUCGUCAGUUCUUAUAACCAGUGGGGCUUAAAGCCUAGAAUUUAAAAAUUGCUGAGCUUCACUCUGGGAAAGCUCUAAGGGCUUUACAAGUGGAGUUCCCACACUUAAAGAGACAACAAAAAAGUUAGUGGGAAUAUAGUGUGGAAGCAGUAGUUUGAAAAACACAAAGGGAAGACAGAAAGGAGAGUUAUUUACUCAUCUCAGAGCAUGGCCUGGAGAGGCAUGAAUGGUGGGGAAACCCCUCCAGGAGUAAAGGAGUUGACAGGAACCACUUCUCUCUCCUGCCUCUCAGCAUAAACACAGAACCACCUGCAAGGCACCCACAUGCGCUACAUAACUUGCUUAUACCUAGCCCCACCUGACCCGUGCUUCAGCAGAUCCGCCCUUCCCAGUCACAUUAGUCUUAGUCCUGUUGCUGUGAGCCCCAUACUACAGAAGGCCUGCACAAACCCCACCAAUACCUUAUCUCCUGACCCAUGUAUUUUGUGGGAUCCCAGUUCUAGUGAUGCUGUGGCACAACAGGUAUUAUCUCCAAGGGGACCAGCACAACCUUGUUAAGACAUGUCUCACCCCUGUCUGGCACCAAACACUGCCCACAAUGGGCAAAGAGAGCCUCUGCAGACAACUUUACUUAAUGAAAAAGCAGCCAGGACUGAACAGCAGGGCACACACAACAUACAUGGGAGACACUCCCUGAAUUGCCAGGUCCUGGGGAAAAAGGAAGACUACACUGCAUUAUAGGACCUCUUAUUCAUAAAGCCAUUACCUUCAAGAAAAGACAUAGUUGACUUUCCUAACACUCAGAAACAGACACAGCAGAAAAAAUGAGGAGACAGAAGAAUAUGUCCCAAAUGAAAGAACAAGACAAAACCAUAGCAAGAGACCUAAGCAAAAUGGGUAUAAGUGAUAUGCCAGAUAAAGAAUUUAAAGUAAUGAUCUUAAAGACAGUCACUGAACUUGAGAAAAGAGUGAGGACAUCAGUGAGACCUUUAACAAGGAGAUAAAAAAGAACCAAUCAGAGAUAAAGAACAUAAUAAAUGAAAUAAAAAAAUACAUUUGAUGGAAUAAAUAGCAGGCAAGAGGAAGCAGAGGAAUGAAUUAAUGACCUAGAAGACAGAGUAAUGGAAAGCAAUUAAGCUAAGCAAAUGAGAGAAAAAAUAAUUAUGUAAAGUGAGAAUAGACUUAGGGAACUUAGUGACUCCAUCAACCAUAACAAUAUUUGCAUUAUAGGGAUCCCAGAAGAAGAGAGAAAAAAGAGGGCAGAAAAUUUAUUUGAAAAAAUAAUAGCUGAAAAGUUCCAUAAUCUGGAGAAGGAAACAGAUAUCCAAAUCCAGGAGGGAUGGAGAUCCCCUAACAAAGUCAAGCCAAGGAAGUCUACCUCAAGACACAUACUAAUUAAAAUGGUAAAUAGUAAUGACAAAGAGAAAAAUUUUUAAGCAGGAAGAGAAAAAAUGAUGGUUACAUACAAGGGAAACUUCAGACAAACAAAAACUAAAGUUCAUGACCACUAAACCAGCCCUGCAAGAAAUGUUAAAGGGGACUCUAAGUACAAAGGAAAGACCACAAGUGAGAGUAUAUAAGAAGUUGGAAGACAAAACCAGUAAAAAUAAAGUAAAGAAUGGUUUUAAAAUUAAGCAACCAUCAACUUCUGGUAUACGGAGAAGAUAUUACAUAUAAUCUUAAUGGUAACGACACACAAGAAAAGAGUAAUAGAUAUGCAAAGAAUAAAGAGAAAGGAAUCUAGGUGUAUCUCUAAAUAAAGCCAACAAACCAUAAAAGAGUGCAAGAGAAAGGAUUAGAGAAAAAGUAUAAAAACCACCAUAGGGGUGCCUGGGUGGCUCAGUCAAGCGUCCAACUUUGGCUCAGGUCAUGAUUUUGCAGUUCAUGGAUUUGAGUCCUGCAUCAGGCUUUGUGCUGACAGCUCAGAGCCUAGAGUCUGCUUCAGAUUCUGUGUCUCCCUCUGUCUCUGCCCCUUCCUCUACUCUUGCUCUUUCUCUUUCUGUCUCUCAAAAAUAAAUAAACAAAAAAAGAAAAAGAAAAAGAAAAGAAAAA